AGCACAAGACCAGGUUCACACUACGAUAUGUUUCUCGGGGCUGCAGUUCCUUUGAGCUCCACAAGAUGGUGGACUUCUACCCAGACAGGAAGUCUCUAUGGAAGACAGGAAGUGAUGUCAGGUACACACAGGAAGUUCCUUGUGGCACGAAGGAAAAAGGGGUCAUUGUUGGAACUUGUCAGCAGAGGAGAUCUAAAUCUAAUCAAAACUAGUUCAGAAACCCAACAGAGAAAAGGGAAUUUCUGAUCUUGUGAGCCAAGAGGUUCCCUGGACCUCGAAAAUGUAACAAACUCUAAAAAGAUCAAACUCAAUUUUCACAUGGGGAAAGUAGUUGUUAAAUGUACAGCAACCCUCCCCCCAACCACACCCUAUUAUUGUGUGACCAAUACCAUCCAAAUAAUUCUUACUUUCAUUUCCCAAAGUUAUCCGUAUACAAGGAGACCUGUAUAGAUCAAACGACAAUACGAAUGGAAAUGGAGGAGAACCAGAGUCACAUGAAUGAAAAGAUCCUAAAACUCACCCUGGAGAUCAUUUAUCUGCUGACCGGAGAGAGAUUUCCUCUUCUGAAGUCAGGUGAUCAUAUG